GACGAACGCUGGCGGCGUGCUUAACACAUGCAAGUCGAACGGAGUGGCGAACGGGUGAGUAUUACGUGAGUAACCUGCCCUCAACUGUGGGAUAAGCCUGGGAAACUGGGUCUAAUACUGCAUAGUUGGGGAUGGGCUCGCGGCCUAUCGGCUUGUUGGUGGGGUGAUGGCCUACCAAGGCGGUGACGGGUAGCUGGCCGGAGAGGGUGAUUGGCCAGAGUGGGACUGGUAUACGGCCCAGGCUCCUACGGGAGGCAGAAAUGGGGGAGAUGGCACAAGGGGGGCAAGCCUGAUGCAGCGACGCCGCGUGAGGGAUGAAGGCUUUCGGGUUGUAAACCUCUUUCGGUACAGAACGGGUAGGUGCAGAAGAAGCGCCGGCUAACUACGUGCCAGCAGCCGCGGUAAUUC
rnacentral:rRNA from 1 species